UUUGCUUUCGUUUCAUCUUUUUGUCAUUCCGAAGAAUGCCUUUGGAUGAGUUUCAAUCAGAGUGCUCGGUAUAUCACACUAAUAAGAGUGGAUAGAAAAUAGACCAGGAAAGCGACGAGCGCAUCCCUGGCUAAGGUGUUCAGUCCCGAAGGAAAUUCCACCAUAAGACAUUGGUUUCACGUAACCGAAGACGAAACGGUGUUACCCGAAUCGAAUUCUUAUGAAUAAGGUGUGAUAAUGAUCCUUCCGCAGGUUCACCUACGGAAA
rnacentral:misc_RNA from 1 species